CUCUAGGUAGCUCAGCUUGGAAGAGCGUCAGAUUGUAAUGGAUAUCGUCAUCUAAAUGUCGCUGGUUCGAUCCUGGCUCCGGAGA